CAGAGUGAACGUAUAUGCGUCAAGUGUCGGUGGGACGGGGAGUUGCCCAUUGAACGAAAACCAUAAGGUUGCGGUGCAUGCGUUGAAUCCC
rnacentral:ncRNA from 1 species